AUUUUUCCAUUAUUCCCAUCAUUUUCUCUAAUUGCCCUGUGUGAAAUUUGCUAUACAAAUAAACUUGCCUUGACUGUUCAUGUCACGGUACGGUGAGGAUCAGCUUCAUCGUGCUGUGCACUCCCAGUUCCCGUCACUUCACGAACUCAUUCAUUGUCUUGUCUCCAUUAAUCAUGCACACCAGGUCCCAAUCUUCCCAUCAAUGUGUGUUUAAAUGUUUCUCGUCUGCUCCCCUCACUUGUCGAUUAUUGUUGUCGCAUGUCACACGUAACGGGUGAGUGCUUUCGGUUUGCCGUUUAAAUUCAGCCCCUUUACGUUCAUUCAGUUUGUACUCGGUGUUUGUUUCGAUUCAAGUAUACAUCGACUGUAUCCUGUCUGCGCCUGGUUCCUCCUCUCCACACCACCGUUACAGUUUAAGCACCACUUUGGAGUCAAUAUGUUUUUGCAUAUGUAGAGUAGUGACAGAAUGUGUGCCAAAUAUCCUGAACUGAUUUCCAAGCAUUGACAUGCUAGCCCAAGAAAGUGUAAUGUGUUGUUUUAGAAUCUAAUCUGAAAAAUAAUGUUGAGCAACCCUUUCUCCAUAGAUGCUACAUCUCAAGUUGUGUACAGAUCAGUCAUUCUGUGCCAGAGAAAUAGCAUUCGUAGCACAUCCUUAUCUGAAUGGCAGAAAUCGAUCUAAGCAGACUGUCUUGGUCCAUGAGGAAAUCUUGUUGCUUGUGAGAGAGUUCCAUCAACCAAAUAUCAUGACUUAACAUCAGACAAGGUUGGUCCGGUGGAGCUACUGACCAUGUAGUCCAGGUCAAUGAAGGGAUCAUUGAUGGCCACAACCUCUACUCCUUUCUUGGAUUGGAAAGAAGCACGAGUCACCAGGCGCCCGAUACGGCCAAAUC